rnacentral:rRNA from 1 species
AAUGAACGUUGGCGGCGUGGAUUAGGCAUGCAAGUCGAGCGAUAACCCGCAAGGGGGACAGCGGCAAACGGGGUAGUAAUGUGUCGGAACGUGCCCUCUGGACGGGGAUAGCGGCGGGAAACUGCCGGUAAUACCCGAUGAACUCGAGAGAGCAAAGGUGUGAUUCCGCCGGAGGAGCGGCCGACAUGGUAUUAGCUAGUUGGCGGGGUAACGGCCCACCAAGGCUUUGAUGCCUAGGGGAUGUGAGAGCAUGAUCCCCACCAUUGGGACUGAGACACUGCCCAGACACCUACGGGUGGCUGCAGUCGAGAAUCUUCGUCAAUGGGCGAAAGCCUGAACGAGCGACGCCGCGUGUGGGAUGAAGGCCUUUGGGUUGUAAACCACUGUCGAGGGGGAUGAAGGCAUUCAGGUCCUCCUGAAUGUUUGACAGAGCCCUGGAGGAAGCACGGGCUAAGUUCGUGCCAGCAGCCGCCGUAAAAC